AUAAAUAAAAUAUCGUGCCAAAGACCGUAAGCGUCGAAAGACUUAAAUUUGCUUGCCGAGGUUACAAAGUAGAUUGAACUUUUAUAAUGUUCUCUAUGCUUUUGGCAUAGAGAAUUUUGUUUUUU
rnacentral:sRNA from 1 species